rnacentral:misc_RNA from 1 species
UUUCCGUAGGUGAACCUGCGGAAGGAUCAUUAACGAGUUAGGGUCUUCCAGGCCCGACCUCCCAACCCUAUGUUUAUUGAACCUCUGUUGCUUCGGCGGACCCGCCUCACGGCCGCCGGAGGACCGCUGCAAGGCGUCCUCUGGCCAGCGUCCGCCGAUGGCCAACCACUUAAACUCUGAUUGAAUCGUGUCAUAUGUCUAAGUCUAUGAUUAAAUUAAAGCAAUACUUUCAACAACGGAUCUCUUGGUUCUG